rnacentral:misc_RNA from 1 species
UGGAGGCAGCCGGCCACGGUAGGGUCAGCGACUGGGGUGAAGUCGUAACAAGGUAGCCGUAGGGGAACCUGCGGCUGGAUCACCUCCUUUCUAAGGAUGAUCCUUCAGCGAGCUUCGGCUCACUAUCGGAUCGUUUUAGAAACAUCAGUGGCCAACGGUCGUCAGGAUCGUUGAGCUGCAUUGGCGGGAUUUCGCCGUCUACGUUUCUCUUUCUUCGCGGACGAACACGCGCUGGGCCUGCAUGGUUGCGGGAUCCCGGUCCUUGACUGGAUAUGCGUUAGGGGCUUGUAGCUCAGUUGGUUAGAGCGCGCGCUUGAUAAGCGUGAGGUCGGAAGUUCAAGUCUUCCCAGGCCCACCACACUCAUCGAGCGAGCAUUCGUCUUCUGGUUACGGGGCCAUAGCUCAGCUGGGAGAGCGCGUGCUUUGCAAGCAUGAGGUCGUCGGUUCGAUCCCGUCUGGCUCCACCAGAUGGUUUGAUCGAUCGACUGAUCGUGCACCAAAAUCGUCCGCGAAACAUCACUUCGCAUCCUGCUAGUCUGGAUAGACGGCAGGUUGCGUGAUUUCUGACAUCGUAAAGAGGAGAUCGAUCCGAGUUGGGUCGUGCAGCAAGCAAUUGCUACGCGACACUUCAUUAUCUCCGGAUCAUUUCGGCGCUCGUGCGUCUUUGAAGGUAGCUCACAAGGCUGCGUUCGGAGGCAUGUCGUCCAGGGUAGCCCACAAGGCUGCGUUUGGAAGACAAGCGAGUUGUAAAUGAUCCUUUUAGCGAAGCUUGACCGCCUCGCUAUCGGAACGAUCUUACGAAGCAAGCUGGUCUUUCUAAUCAUUGUCCGGCUGCAGAUAGCGUUCAUCGAGGGCGCGCGCCGCAAGGUAAUUCUGCAGACAACAUUCUGCCGAGUGUGUGGACAUUGAUAAUGAGAGCAAUCAAGUGCCUUAAGGGUGUUCGGUGGAUGCCUUGGCGCUGAGAGGCGAUGAAGGACGUGCUACGCUGCGAUAAGCCGUGGGGAGCUGCGAAGAAGCUUUGAUCCAUGGAUUUCCGAAUGGGGAAACCCACCUUCGAUAGCCGGAACUCCAAGACCUCAGUCGAAAGACU